UACGGGGGGGCAAGCGUUGUUCGGAAUUCCUGGGCGUAAAGGGCUCGUAGGCGGCCAACUAAGUCGGACGUGAAAUCCCCAGGCUCAACCUGGGAACUGCGUCCGAUACUGGAUGGCUUGAAUCCGGGAGAGGGAUGCAGAAUUCCAGGUGUAGCGGUGAAAUGCGUAGAUAUCUGGAGGAACACCGGUGGCGAAGGCGGCACUCUGGGCCGGAACUGACGCUGAGGAGCGAAAGCGUGGGGAGCGAACAGG
rnacentral:rRNA from 1 species